CUAAAUAUAUUUCUGCCAUUUUGUGCUGUGUGUUUAUGCAAAAGAGCCUUCUCAGCACGAGUGCCUUUAUGUUUGUGUGGGUGUCUGAGUUUACGUAUGUGCACCUGUGCGCAUGCAGAAACCUAGGAGGCCGAAAGAGGGCACCAGACCUCCUGGAACUGGAGUUACAGUUAUGGGAGGCUAUGUGGGUGCUGGGAACUGAAUCCAUACAAACCCACAACAUUGAUAAUCAUAAAAUCAGAAAAUAUCUGUCAACUCUGAAAACUGUUGGAGGUGCUCUAGGUCCUGCCUUAUCAAACAUUCAGCCAAGAUUUAUUUUGAUAUGUAAAAAUAUUACUGGUUGUGUAUAGAAACUUUCUUUUAUCUUUAAUAAACGAUAAAGUUAUAUGAAUAUCAAAA
rnacentral:lncRNA from 1 species